AACGCUAGCUACAGGCUUAACACAUGCAAGUCGAGGGGAAACGACAUCGAAAGCUUGCUUUUGGUGGGCGUCGACCGGCGCACGGGUGAGUAACGCGUAUCCAACCUGCCCGCCACUUGGGGAUAACCUUGCGAAAGUAAGACUAAUACCCAAUGAUAUCCCACGAAGGCAUCCGAAUGGGAUUAAAGAUUUAUCGGUGAUGGAUGGGGAUGCGUCUGAUUAGCUUGUUGGCGGGGUAACGGCCCACCAAGGCAACGAUCAGUAGGGGUUCUGAGAGGAAGGUCCCCCACAUUGGAACUGAGACACGGUCCAAACUCCUACGGGAGGCAGCAGUGAGGAAUAUUGGUCAAUGGGCGAGAGCCUGAACCAGCCAAGUAGCGUGCAGGAUGACGGCCCUAUGGGUUGUAAACUGCUUUUAUAAGGGAAUAAAGUGGGUCACGUGUGACUUUUUGCAUGUACCUUAUGAAUAAGGACCGGCUAAUUCCGUGCCAGCAGCCGCGGUAAUACGGAAGGUCCGGGCGUUAUCCGGAUUUAUUGGGUUUAAAGGGAGCGUAGGCCGGAGAUUAAGCGUGUUGUGAAAUGUAGUGGCUCAACCUCUGCACUGCAGCGCGAACUGGUCUUCUUGAGUACGCACAACGUGGGCGGAAUUCGUGGUGUAGCGGUGAAAUGCUUAGAUAUCACGAAGAACUCCGAUUG
rnacentral:rRNA from 1 species